rnacentral:rRNA from 1 species
UACGUAGGGGCCGAGCGUUGUCCGGAAUCAUUGGGCGUAAAGAGCGUGUAGGCGGCUUGUUAAGUCUUGCGUGAAAUCUCGGGGCUCAACCCCGAGCGGUCGUGAGAAACUGGCAGGCUAGAGUGCGGGAGAGGAGAGUGGAAUUCCUGGUGUAGCGGUGAAAUGCGCAGAUAUCAGGAGGAACACCGGUGGCGAAGGCGGGUCUCUGGGCCGAAAUUGACGCUGAGGAGCGAAAGCGUGGGGAGAGAACAGG